rnacentral:rRNA from 1 species
UACGGAGGGUGCAAGCGUUAUCCGGAUUUACUGGGUUUAAAGGGUGUGUAGGCGGGCUAUUAAGUCAGUGGUGAAAUCUCCGGGCUCAACCCGGAAACUGCCAUUGAUACUAUUAGUCUUGAAUUUUGUUGAGGUAGGCGGAAUAAGUCAUGUAGCGGUGAAAUGCAUAGAUAUGACUUAGAACACCAAUUGCGAAGGCAGCUUACUAAGCAAAUAUUGAUGCUGAGGCACGAAAGCGUGGGGAUCAAACAGGAUUAGAUACCCUGGUAGUCCACGCCCUAAACGAUGAUUACUCGACAUACGCGAUACACAGUGUGUGUCUGAGCGAAAGCAUUAAGUAAUCCACCUGGGAAGUACGACCGCAAGGUUGAAACUCAAAG